rnacentral:lncRNA from 10 species
UGUCAUCUCCUGAAAGCUGCUUACUCUAGCAGGCCCCCUCUGUUCUGAGGCUGACAUUCCUUCUUUGCUCAUUUCUCUCUGCUUGUGUCUAAUGAGGUGCAGGAGGCUGCUGAAACUGACAAUAGAAUUACCCUGGACUCUAGAUUCUGUCAAUCUCCAUUAGGAGCCCAGGGAGAGAACAGUCAAAGCACCGGGACACCUUGGUGCUGUUAUUGUAAUGGGGUUCACUGCGAGAGCAAACAAAACAACAUCCCCCCGAGAUGCUCACCCUGGGCUGAUGAGUCACUCUGGCUUCCAGUCCAGGCUGCAGCAUCUACCUCACCCCACCACUCCAAGGAGCCAGAGCCCCGGGAAGUCACACACCUCACUGCUGCAGGUACGGGGACAUCAGGGAGGCUCAUUCUUCCCGUGAAGAUCUGCCUAAGUUUGGCUCAACAACCCUCUCUUCAUUUAAUGACUUGUGAGCAGUCCAAAGCCUCCCCUCGAUUUCUGUAAUGUCCUAGGUGACUUAGGUCCUCUUGACCACCUCUCAUUUCGAGCAGCUGCUGAAUUAUUUGGUACAUGGACCAUCUCUCUGAUCCCCUCACCUUCCAUAUGCUUUUUUAGGUUUCUACCAUUUCAAUUCUUUGUGGAACUCAAUCUGUUUUCUUAACUGAUGCAAAAAAGACCACUUAAAGGUAGAGUUGGUUAGUGGGACUUGCAGCGGAGAAUUCUGACUCAUGGUAGCCCGAAGAUGAAGGCUAAGGAAGGAGGUCAUUUGAAGCAUAUUGCAUGGCCCAGGAUCUUUAGUCUGCCCUGAAGGACUGUGGAUUCCAAACAGCAGAAGAUGGUUCCACUAAAGACUGCUUCAAGGGAGGGUCUGGGAGAGGAGUGAAUGGGAAGAUGCCCCUAAACACCUGGAGGUGAUUCAGCCUCACCCUCCCCCAACAUCUGGCACCUACCUCCCCUUCCCAAGCACCUCACACCUCUGCUGAGGCGGUUCCCUUGGUCUGGAAUGCCACUCUCCACUCUGCCCAGAUGACGAACACCUGUGCCUCUUUCAGGACUUGGCUUGGGAUC